rnacentral:rRNA from 1 species
CCCCUAGAUGUUCUGGGCCGCACGCGCGCUACACUGAACAGUUCAACAAGUCUUAACCUUGGCCGAUAGGUCUGGGUAAUCUUUGAACGCUGUUCGUGAUUGGGAUAGACCCUUGCAAUUAUGGGUCUUCAACGAGGAAUUCCUAGUAAACGCAAGUCAUCAGCUUGCAUUGAUUACGUCCCUGCCCUUUGUACACACCGCCCGUCGCACCUACCGAUUGAAUGGUCCGGUGAAAUCUCGGGACGGCGGCUUGGUCGCUUGCGUCCGACUGCUGAAACUUGAUUAAACCAUAUCAUUUAGAGGAAGGUGAAGUCGUAACA